CGCAAAUCACUUUCCCCUCCUCAUCACGCGACGCCGCCUUCUCCUCUCGAGCGAAACCGCAGCCAAGGCUAGGGUUCCUCCCCUCCGGCGUCGGCGACGUGUUUUUCCGACCGGUCUCCACUCGUGGGUGACUAUUCCGGCAAGGAGAGCUCGAGAAAUACAAGGAAAAAGGUGGAAUCGAAGCUCCACCGAAACCCUAGGGCGCUCCUCGUGUUGUAAGUCCAAGAACCACCGCGAUAUAGAUAAAAAUAAAGGAAAAGCUAAAGUGGCAUAGAAGAAGGCGACAAGGAGACGUUGAUGGUGUGUGUGUGGUGGCUGUUUAUGGAAGUAUGGGAUCUUGCUAGAAGAGUUUGGAGAUGUUACUUGCUAGUGCUCGUUUGAUUUCUGCCAUAGUAGAACUAUAUUGCCAUGUUAAAAAAAUUGUUAGAUGCUAGUAUGCUAUAUAAGUUUGCUUUAAUGGAACUGUCACAUGAUUUACUUCUGCUGUAGUGAAAUUUGUUUUCAAUUGCAAUGAGUAGGAUAUAUGACUAGCUAGCGAAUUCCUAUGCUUA